GACGAACGCUGGCGGCAGGCCUAACACAUGCAAGUCGAACGCACCGCAAGGUGAGUGGCGCACGGGUGAGUAACACGUGGGAAUGUAUCCUUUGGUUCGGAAUAACGUCUGGAAACGGACGCUAAUACCGGAUGAGCCCUUAGGGGGAAAGAUUUAUCGCCGAAGGAGCAGUCCGCGUCUGAUUAGGUAGUUGGUGGGGUAAAGGCCUACCAAGCCGACGAUCAGUAGCUGGUCUGAGAGGAUGAUCAGCCACACUGGGACUGAGACACGGCCCAGACUCCUACGGGAGGCAGCAGUGGGGAAUAUUGGACAAUGGGCGCAAGCCUGAUCCAGCCAUGCCGCGUGAGUGAUGAAGGCCUUCGGGUUGUAAAGCUCUUUCGCACACGACGAUGAUGACGGUAGUGUGAGAAGAAGCCCCGGCUAACUUCGUGCCAGCAGCCGCCGUAAAAC
rnacentral:rRNA from 1 species